rnacentral:rRNA from 1 species
UACGUAGGGUGCAAGCGUUGUCCGGAAUUAUUGGGCGUAAAGAGCUCGUAGGCGGUCUGUCGCGUCUGCUGUGAAAACUCAGGGCUUAACCCUGAGCUUGCAGUGGGUACGGGCAGACUAGAGUGCGGUAGGGGAGACUGGAAUUCCUGGUGUAGCGGUGAAAUGCGCAGAUAUCAGGAGGAACACCGGUGGCGAAGGCGGGUCUCUGGGCCGAUACUGACGCUGGAGGAGCGAAAGCCGUGGGGAGCAAACAGG